AAAAAAAAAUGCAAAUCCUACUUACCCAAAGACAAACAUUAAAUCUUUCCAAAACCUUGAAGGAAAUCACCUUUAUUGCCAAAAUUGAAGGACCUAAGGAAGGAAAAAACCUUUUCCCCACACCCACAAGGAAAAAAUCCAUGCCUCAAAAUACACCAAAUGUAUUUUGUCAAAAAAUUAUGGAAAAUCAAUAUGCACAAUAAGUAUGUGCCGCUUUAUCCAUUUUCAAAAUUUUCAUUCAAGAUCAAGCCUCUACAACUCUUGAAGAAAAUUUCCAUUUCAUUCAAGAUUAAG
rnacentral:lncRNA from 1 species